rnacentral:pre_miRNA from 1 species
AGCUUUUUGAAUCCGUGCUGAGAUUUCGUCAGUUAUCAACCCAUUAGUGCUGAUUAGACUUCCAAGAUAAGUGAUUUG